rnacentral:ncRNA from 1 species
ACGGCCAAAACCUUCGCAAUGUAGGGGAUCAACGGCAGAUUCAGGAUCAGCAACACCAGAUUGCCCAAAUACAUCGAGAUGAUGACCGCCCAGAAAAUCUGCGGCUCGUCGAUCAUCAGGCGCGGGCC